UGGCUCAGUGGUAGAGCGCUUGCCUUGCAUGCACGAGGCCCUGGGUUAAAUUCCUAA
rnacentral:tRNA from 1 species